GUGCCCAAGUUAAGAGAGGGAGUGACCUUCCAGAUGAGCAGCUCUCAGGGUAUGAAGAUGUGGGGGAAGCUGAAGGAGUCAAUCUCUUAGAGAAGACGAUCACUGGUGACGACCCAGAAAACUAUGAUGACCAUGUUUGUGAGAAAGAGACUCCAGAAAAGUUGAAAGGGGUAGAUACCCUGGAGUACUACAAUGACAGCCCUGCAGGUCAGACACCUGACUAUGAUGAUGUCACUGACAGCCAGACCAAUGACUAUGAUGUCGUCUCUG